CGAUAGCCCGAAGGGCGAGGAGUGAAACGACGAGGGCACCGAGCAUAGCGAGAUAACGUUGGAGCCUGUGACGACGACCCGAAGGGCGAGGAGUGAAACGACGAGUAAUCCUCCCUCACCGCCA
rnacentral:sRNA from 2 species